rnacentral:rRNA from 1 species
AAAGAAACCAACAGGGAUUGCCCUAGUAACGGCGAGUGAAGCGGCAACAGCUCAAAUUUGAAAUCUGGCGUAAGCCCGAGUUGUAAUUUGUAGAGGAUGCUUCUGGGUAGCGGCCGGUCUAAGUUCCUUGGAACAGGACGUCAUAGAGGGUGAGAAUCCCGUAUGUGACUGGCCCGCACCCUCCACGAAGCUCCUUCGACGAGUCGAGUUGUUUGGGAAUGCAGCUCUAAAUGGGAGGUAAAUUUCUUCUAAAGCUAAAUACUGGCCAGAGACCGAUAGCGCACAAGUAGAGUGAUCGAAAGAUGAAAAGCACUUUGGAAAGAGAGUUAAAAAGCACGUGAAAUUGUUGAAAGGGAAGCGCCCGCAACCAGACUUUGCGGCGGUGUUCGGCUGGUCUUCUGACCGGUUUACUCACCGCCGUGAGGCCAUCAUCGUCUGGGACCGCUGGAUAAGACCUGAGGAAUGUAGCUCCCUUCGGGGUGUAUUAUAGCCUCUAGUGAUGCAGCGCGUCUCGGGCGAGGUCCGCGCUCCGGCAAGGAUGAUGGCGUAAUGGUUGUCGGCGGCCCGUCUUGA